CCGCCGAAACUCUUUGAACUUCGAGCGGGUGCCUGUGUAGUUUAAAGACACGCAAAGCUGAGGUUUAAACGUGUAAAUUAAUUGUUACAAGAGGUCUCGUUUAAAUUUGCCGUAGACAUGCGGGAUGUUUCUUAAAGACUAGAAACAUGUAGUCUUAGACUCUAGUGGCUCAACUGCCUUAUAGUCUUAUCACAGUAAAUACUUCAGUGACAGACCGCUAUGACUUCAAAACAGGGAAUCAGACUGAAAUACAAUAAAAUAUUUCAGUAAAGAUCAGUAAUUGAAGAGAUUUUAAUGGAUGGGAGUGGGACUCACAUGAAAUAGAGUUUCCUUUUAGGGUCUAUUAUCUUAGCCAGUAAACUGCAUGUGAGCAAGGGGAAUGUGAUUAGAGAAGACUGGUGAUAAUAAACAGAGGCCACUCAAAAAAAGAAAAUAUACUGUUGUGAAAAAGACUCAAAAUGGCAGAAAAUAAUUGGAUUUUACAUGGGCAUAUUCUGUUGUAACUUCGAUUUGGUAGCUAAAAAUUGUUUAACAAUACCUGUAUGGCUGUGAAGAGAGAUGUUGAGAGUGAUUGUUAUACACACAGGCUUUCAAACCAGUACAAGCAAAUUACUGUUGAAUGAACAAACAAAAUUGUGCUAUAACAUAUGGAAGCGGCUUGUUCUAGAUUAUUUUUAUAAACCCUACACAACUAUGAUGAUAAGUGGGAUAUACUAGAAUCAGAUUGUCUGUCUGUCUGCCUCACAGUCUACCUAUUGGAGCUAUUGAAGUGAAACUUAAUAGACAGAUGUAUCUCAUUGCAGUGAAAUUUAGUUCCAAGGCAUUUAAUCAAAUUUGUUUUUCAUAUGAUAGAUCAGUCAAAAUGUUUCUUAUUUAGUGAUUUAUUUGUGGCUCAAAUUUAGCAAUUGAAACUAAAUUUGCCUCAUAAUGGUCUUGAACUUAUAUGUCAAAUUAGUGUAUUUUCACCAUUUUUAGCUUGUCAUUUUUUUUUCAAAGAAAAAAAUAGAGGUAUUGUUACAGUCAAUGGCAGCUUUUCCAUUGCCGUCCGCAAUCUUUAACUUUGAUCAAAAUGUCUAAAUUAUCGCAUUUUAUUCUAUCAAAUUGUAAUAUCUGUUUUGUUAAGGGGGAACGGUUCCACUUUAGAAAAUGUGUCAUAGAUAAGUUUUGAAAUUUAUUUUUUAUUUUGAGUAGGGAAUGGUUCCCUCUUACUGGUAACCUGGCUCUAAAAUUCUAAAUUAUUGCAUUUUAUUCUAUCAAAUUGUUAUAUCUGUUUUGUUAAGGGGGAACGGUUCCACUUUAGAAAAUUGGUAAGUGAUAAGUUUUGAAUUUUGUUUUUUAUAUCGAUGAGGGAACGGUUCCCUCUUACGGGUAAACUUGCUCUAAAUUUCUAAAUUAUUGUAUUUCAUUCUAUCAAAUUGUUAUUUCUGUUUUGUUAAGGGGAAAUGGUUCCACUUUAGAAAAUGGGUAAGAGAUAAGUUUUGAUAUUUAUUUUUUAUUUUGAUGAGGGAACGGUUCCCUCUUACGGGUAACCUUGCUCCAAAUUUCUAAAUUAUUGCAUUUUAUUCUAUCAAAUUGUUAUUUCUGUUUUGUUAAGGGGGAACGGUUCCACUUUAGAAAAUGUGUCAUACUUAAGUUUUUAAAAAAAAAAUUUUAUUUCGAUGAGGGAACGGUUCCCUCUUACUGGUAACAUGGCUCUGAAUUUCUAAAUUAUUGCAUUUUAUUCUAUCAAAUUGUUAUAUCUAUUUUGUUAAGGGGGAACGGUUCCACUUUAGAAAAUUGGUAAGUGAUAAGUUUUGAAAUUUAUUUUUUAUUUUGAUGAGGGAACGGUUCCCUCUUACGGGUAACCUUGGUCUUAAUUUCUAAAUUAUUGCAUUUUAUUCUAUCAAAUUGUUAUUUCUGUUUUGUUAAGGGGGAACGGUUCCACUUUAGAAAAUGUGUCAUACUUAAGUUUAAAAAAAAAAAAAUUAUUUCGAUGAGGGAACGGUUCCCUCUUACUGGUAACAUGGCUCUGAAUUUCUAAAUUAUUGCAUUUUAUUCUAUCAAAUUGUUAUAUCUAUUUUGUUAAGGGGGAACGGUUCCACUUUAGAAAAUUGGUAAGUGAUAAGUUUUGAAAUUUAUUUUUUAUUUUGAUGAGGGAACGGUUCCCUCUUACGGGUAACCUUGCUCCAAAUUUCUAAAUUAUUGCAUUUUAUUCUAUCAAAUUGUUAUUUCUAUUUUGUUAAGGGGAACGGUUCCACUUUAAAAAUGUGUCAUACUUAAGUUUUUAAAAAAAUAAAUUUAUUUCGAUGAGGGAACGGUUCCCUCUUACGGGUAACCUUGGUCCUAAUUUCUAAAUUAUUGCAUUUUAUUCUAUCAAAUUGUUAUAUCUAUUUUGUUAAGGGGGAACGGUUCCACUCUAGAAAAUGUGUUAUAAAUAAGAUUUGAAAUUUAUUUUCUAUUUCGAUGAGGGAACGGUUCCCUCUUACUGGUAACAUGGCUCUGAAUUUCUAAAUUAUUGCAUUUUAUUCUAUCAAAUUGUUAUAUCUAUUUUGUUAAGGGGGAACGGUUCCACUUUAGAAAAUUGGUAAGUGAUAAGUUUUGAAAUUUAUUUUUUAUUUCGAUGAGGGAACGGUUCCCUCUUACGGGUAACCUUGCUCCAAAUUUCUAAAUUAUUCAAUUUUAUUCUAUCAAAUUGUUAUUUCUGUUUUGUUAAGGGGGAACGGUUCCACUUUAGAAAAUGUGUCAUACUUAAGUUUUAUAAAAAAAAAAUUUUAUUUCGAUGAGGGAACGGUUCCCUCUUACUGGUAACAUGGCUCUGAAUUUCUAAAUUAUUGCAUUUUAUUAUAUCAAAUUGUUAUAUCUAUUUUGUUAAGGGGGAACGGUUCCACUCUAGAAAAUGUGUUAUAAAUAAGAUUUGAAAUUUAUUUUCUAUUUCGAUGAGGGAACGGUUCCCUCCUAGCGGUAACAUGGCUCUAAAAUUCUAAAUUAUUGCAUUUUAUUCUAUCAAAUUUUUGAACCUGUUUUGUUAAGGGGGAAUGGUUCCACUUUAGAAAAUGGGUAAGAGAUAAGUUUUGAAAUUUAUUUUUAUUUUGAUGAGGGAACGGUUCCCUCUUACGGGUAACCUUGGUCUUAAUUUCUAAAUUAUUGCAUUUUAUUCUAUCAAAUUGUUAUUUCUGUUUUGUUAAGGGGGAACGGUUCCACUUUAGAAAAUGUGUCAUACUUAAGUUUUUAAAAAAAAAAAAUUAUUUCGAAGAGGGAACGGUUCCCUCUUACUGGUAACAUGGCUCUGAAUUUCUAAAUUAUUGCAUUUUAUUCUAUCCAAUUGUUAUAUCUGUUAAUUUGUUAUGGGGGAACGGUUCCACUUUAGAAAAUGUGUUUUGAAGUUUAAUAAGUUUUGAAGUUUAAUUUGUUGAUGGGGGAAUGGUUCCCUUUUAUCGGUUACAUGGCUCUUAUUUCUUAAUUAUUGCAUUUUAUUUGAUCAAAUUGUUAUAUCUAUUUUUUUUAAGGGGGAAUGGUUCCACUUUAGAGUAUGUGUUAAAGAUAAGUUUUGAAAUUUGCUUUUUAUUUUGAUGAGGGAAUGGUUUCCCCGUAAGCAUAAUGUAUCUCUUAUUACUGAACAAUUGCUUUUUAUUUAUCGAAUCAUGUUGUAUUCUGUACAUGGCUUUUGUUCUUCGGGGGAACGGUUCCCCCGAAAACAUUUGCAAAAGAAACAAAAAAUAAAAUUUGGAUGUUUA